rnacentral:SRP_RNA from 1 species
GCCGAUUGCGGUGGCGCGUGCCUGUAGUCCCAGGUACUCGGGAGGCUGAGGUGGGAGGAAUGCUUGAACCCAGGAGUUCUGGGCUGUAGUGUGCUAUGCCGAUUGGGUGCCCGCACUAAGUUCAGCAGCAAUUUGGUGACCUCCUGGGAGCGAGGGACCACCAGGUUGCCUAAGGAGGGGUUAACCAGCCCAGGUUGGAAACGGAGCAGGUCAAAACUCCCGUGCUGAUCAGUAGUGGGAUCGCACCUGUGAAUAGCCACUGCACUCCAGUCUGGGCAACAUAGCAGACCUUGUCUCU